AAAAUGCGUUGGGGAGAAACUACUGGUUUCUCUCCGGAUCCGGUGCGCAGGCUGGGCGCCGUCGCGGCCGGGCGCCCUCUUCCGCGCCCCAUCUCCCCCAACCUCCCCGCCACCCUCUCCCGCACGCCCUCUCCCCCGACCUCACCGGUGCCGCAGCUGAGGCUCCUUCGCGCAGGUUGCAGUCGCCGCCGCGCUCGCGCUCGCGCUCUCGCCGCUGCCUCCUCCCCCGACGGUCUGCGCUCGCGCUCUCACAACGGGCUCACCCACCUCCCGCUGCCUCCUCCCGGACGGCCGCCGACGACGCCGCGCCCCGGCCGGACGACACCCUGGGGUCCAGGUAUACGCCGGUAUACGCUGUAUACGCCGGUCUGCGCUCGCCUUCUCGGGCCUCCGCGCCGGGGACCUCCUCCCGCGCGCAAGGAGCAGGCAAGGCGCGGGGGCAGCAGGUUCUGGCGCGCGUCCGUGUGCGCCUGCUGAGCGUCCCACUGCCCGUCUGCAGUUGAGCACCUGCGCCACCCAAAAUCUCACCAAUUUCUCUGAUCAACCACGUUUGCAUAUGGAGUAGGAGGAAGCAGCUGAUCCGUCUUGGAUCUUGAGUUGAAGACUGAGAUUGUAUCGAAGCUUGUAGAAUCUAACCAAGGUGAAGAUGGCCGCAUAAUUUUGCAUGGAGAAACUUAUUGGCAAGCUAUUUGAAGCUAUCACUAAGCAAAAGUCGGAUCGUCAUACCCAAGCAGAACGGUGCAUCCAUCAUGGCGUCAUCUGAAGAUGAACUUGCUAGACGAUUUCGCAGAGAUCGAGAAAAUGGAGAUGGCGUCAGAUGAUCUGAAGGGCAAUGUGCCACGUGCAUAUCUGAAGAAGGCGGAUAUGGCACCGGUUACGCCAGAGAAGAGUGGCAAUGAUCCUGCAGAUAGUGUCAACUGUGCAAAGGAGGCUACAUGGUUGCUUGCCACAGCUGAUACACUCUUUUUAGUGCUGCAUUUAAGUUUUGAUUUGUGUAGAAACUGCUAUAGAAAUCAUGGACUGUGAAGGAUAGUUUCUACUCAAUAUUAAUAUUAAUUGUUCCUUUUCUCUCUUGGAAACUUCAUCUGGAAAUUAUCCAUUGGGACUGCCCUUAA